UACGUAGGGUGCAAGCGUUAAUCGGAAUUACUGGGCGUAAAGCGUGCGCAGGCGGUUUUGUAAGUCUGUCGUGAAAUCCCCGGGCUCAACCUGGGAAUUGCGAUGGAGACUGCAAGGCUAGAAUCUGGCAGAGGGGGGUAGAAUUCCACGUGUAGCAGUGAAAUGCGUAGAGAUGUGGAGGAACACCGAUGGCGAAGGCAGCCCCCUGGGUCAAGAUUGACGCUCAUGCACGAAAGCGUGGGGAGCAAACAGGAUUAGAA
rnacentral:rRNA from 1 species